rnacentral:lncRNA from 1 species
AAAAAUUUAGGAUAACGCGAACUCAAGUAAGACAUAUACGGACAUACAAUUUACUAAUGUGGAUUAUGCAUAAUGGAUCUUUUAAUUUGUUGCAGAGAGUUUACAAAAAAAAAAAAAAUCUGUUGCGGAGCAUGCAUAGCAGAAGGGUUUGACCCGCUUGAAGAAUAAAUUUAGUUUAUCUAGGAAGGGAAGUUUUAAUUUUUUUUUCUUUGUUUUCAUCCGGUUUGAUAGUCACGGGUUUAACAGGAAGUAAGCUGAUUACUAAUCUAGUUCACAUUCAAUCUGGAUCUGCUAUCCUGUCGAUCCAAAAUUUAUUGUGAAACAAAUAUUAUUAUUUCAAACAUUCACAAAAUUGAUAAAAACCAACCAAUAUAUGUUUAUGUUAAAA